CCCCAUGCUCCAGAAUAGCUCUUGGAAACGGGUGGUAAUGCUGGAUGCUCCAACUUGACGCAUGUCUUGUUGGGAAAGUGUUUAGUGGCAUGGGAUGGGGUCGCGUCCUAUCAGCUUGUAGGCGGGGUAAUGGCCCACCUAGGCUUCGACGGGUAGCCGGCCUGAGAGGGCGGACGGCCACAUUGGGACUGAGAUACGGCCCAGACUCCUACGGGAGGCAGCAGAA
rnacentral:rRNA from 1 species